rnacentral:rRNA from 1 species
CGGCAGCACGGGUGCUUGCACCUGGUGGCGAGUGGCGAACGGGUGAGUAAUACAUCGGAACAUGUCCUGUAGUGGGGGAUAGCCCGGCGAAAGCCGGAUUAAUACCGCAUACGAUCUUUGGAUGAAAGCGGGGGACCUUCGGGCCUCGCGCUAUAGGGUUGGCCGAUGGCUGAUUAGCUAGUUGGUGGGGUAAAGGCCUACCAAGGCGACGAUCAGUAGCUGGUCUGAGAGGACGACCAGCCACACUGGGACUGAGACACGGCCCAGACUCCUACGGGAGGCAGCAGUGGGGAAUUUUGGACAAUGGGCGAAAGCCUGAUCCAGCAAUGCCGCGUGUGUGAAGAAGGCCUUCGGGUUGUAAAGCACUUUUGUCCGGAAAGAAAUCCUUGGUUCUAAUAUAACCGGGGGAUGACGGUACCGGAAGAAUAAGCACCGGCUAACUACGUGCCAGCAGCCGCGGUAAUACGUAGGGUGCGAGCGUUAAUCGGAAUUACUGGGCGUAAAGCGUGCGCAGGCGGUUUGCUAAGACCGAUGUGAAAUCCCCGGGCUCAACCUGGGAACUGCAUUGGUGACUGGCAGGCUAGAGUAUGGCAGA